rnacentral:rRNA from 1 species
UACAGGGGGUGCAAGCGUUGUUCGGAAUUACUGGGCGUAAAGCGCGGGCAGGUGGCCUUUUAAGUCCUUUGUGAAAUCCCGGAGCUCAACUCCGGAUGUGCAUAGGAUACUGGAAGGCUUGGGACUGGUAGAGGCGAGCGGAAUUCCUGGUGUAGCGGUGGAAUGCGUAGAUAUCAGGAGGAACACCGAUGGCGAAGGCAGCUCGCUGGGACGGUACUGACGCUGAGACGCGAAAGCGUGGGGAGCAAACAGG